UUUGGUUACACUGAAACCAGGACAACUUGCUUGGUGGAGUGACUGGGGCUUCUUAAUGCAAAUCAACAGGCUCUCACUGAAUUCAGUGCAGCUCUCCUGGCAAAAGAUUCUCAAGUCGUGCCACCAAAGCAACAAAACAAGAAGAGAUAGCUGUGCACCUGUGAGCCUGGCUGCCUGUUCCCAGCAGGACAAGAGUCACAUUUAUUUGUGAGCAUCCCUCUCUGAGCAAGCAGGAUGCCUCCAAGAUGAAAGCUGCUCUACAGGUUUGCUUUGGAUUUGAGAAGCAGCUGCAGCACAAACCCAGCUGAAUAUCUACACCUCCAGACACAGAUGUGUGAUGUGUGCAGGAAUUCCAGCUGCUGCUGUAGUUCCACAAGUUAGCAAGGAAACAUCCACUGAAAUGCUGGCUGGUAACUGCAGCAGGUCAGGGAACACAAAAGGUUAGAUCAUAAACUAAC